CUACAGCCCAUCAUCAAACUGACUGGACCAGCCACCAACAGAGGGAGCUGUUCUACAGCCCAUCAUCAAACUGACUGGACCAGUCACCAACAGAGCUGUUCUACAGCCCAUCAUCAAACUGACUGGACCAGUCACCAACAGAGGGAGCUGUUCUACAACCCAUCAUCAAACUGACUGGACCAGUCACCAACAGAGGGAGCUGUUCUACAGCCCAUCAUCAAACUGACUGGACCAGUCACCAACAGAGGGAGCUGUUCUACAGCCCAUCAUCAAACUGACUGGACCAGUCACCAACAGAGGGAGCUGUUCAACAACCCAUCAUCAAACUGACUGGACCAGUCACCAGCCUCCUCAUCGCUCCUUCAAUCAGAGGAUCUGUAAUGAUGAACUGACCCCUCCAUCCUGACAACAUAUACACUCCAAUAGAUGUGAAAUAUGCCCAAACAUACUUAGGAAAAUAGCUCAAACACAAAGAUAAAUGUCCAUCUACGCACAUUGGUAUGGAUAUAGACACACCCAGAUAAGUAUUAUCUGAAGGAGACUGGACUGAGUUGUUGUUGUAGGGCUGUGGGUUGAGACUGGGUGUAAGUGAGGGGUUGGGGUUGAGACUGGG
ensembl:lncRNA